AUGUACUAUCGUUGGAUUGACACGGAGAAGCCGGCUUGGGCAGUGACUGAGAUUCGUGAAAAAAGUCGCCGUGCGUGGAAUAGUUUAUUUGCGGAAGAGCGACGCGAGAAGGCGGAAGCUGAGGAGAAAGCAGAGCAAGAGAGAGAGUUAAAAGAAUACUAUGCGGAGCAACACCGUUUUUUGAGGAAAUGGGAAAGAAAAACAGGGAAGAGGCUCGUCGCAUGGAGGAGCAGGAACGACAGCGAAAGGAGGCUCGUGAGGCGGAGAGGCAGAGAAAGAAAGAAAGGGCUCGUCAGGCCAAGGCAGCAGAAGAAGCUGGCGAUGGAAAAGGAAAAUAUCCACGUUGGACUCAGUAGAUUCCUGUGGUAG
rnacentral:rRNA from 1 species